CCUACGGGAGGUAGCAGUGGGGAAUAUUGCACAAUGGGGGAAACCCUGAUGCAGCGACGCCGCGUGAGUGAAGAAGUAAUUCGGUAUGUAAAGCUCUAUCAGCAGGGAAGAAAAUGACGGUAACUGAGUAAGAAGCCCCGGCUAACUACGGGCCAGCAGCCGCGGUAAUACGUAGGGGGCAAGCGUUAUCCGGAUUUACUGGGUGUAAAGGGAGCGUAGACGGCAGUGCAAGUCUGGAGUGAAAGGCGGGGGCUCAACCCCCGGACUGCUCUGGAAACUGUACGGCUGGAGUGCAGGAGAGGUAAGUGGAAUUCCUAGUGUAGCGGUGAAAUGCGUAGAUAUUAGGAGGAACACCAGUGGCGAAGGCGGCUUACUGGACUGUAACUGACGUUGAGGCUCGAAAGCGUGGGGAGCAAACAGGAUUAGAUACCCGAGUAGUC
rnacentral:rRNA from 1 species